GGUGGAGAGUGGCUGUGUGGCUCCUGUGUGUAACGCCUGUGUUUUUCUGUUUUUCCUGUGAAGGUGUUGGAGUUGUUGAGGAGACGAGGUGAAUGUGCUGGAGAAGACUUUGACUCUAUGGGUCUGCUGCAGACUCUCUAUACGGUGAAGAUGGACACCGUGGAUGCUAAUAAACUGACCUGCGUCGCAAGUAAAGUAAAGAGUAAAAGCGGCAGACUCGGCCGGCAGCCCCCCAGCAGCUGCCACGUCUGGAGCCGCCAAGAACAGCUGCAACCGUCGGAACUCUGCUGCAGAAAACGAAACUGAGAUGAAAGAGUUUGCUCCUUUACUGUCUGGCGACGUGACGGGCAGAAAAAGCAGCGAGGGAGAAACUCUCCAGCAGAGAUCCUCCUGAUCAUCAUCAUCAUCAUCAUCGAAGAUCUUCUCAUCCUCUGGGAGCUCUCAGCUGGUUUGAACAAACUAAAAAGUGGAGGAAGUAAGGAUUGGGUGUCUUAAGAAUAGACCGUGGAUUUCAGGAAUUAUUGAAUUUGUUGAAUCAUUUAAGACCCAAAUUAAGUUGACUUAAUGGUUAAAACACUAAAAUGCAAAACAAAGAUGCAGCUGUUAUUAAAUUAUGGGUUACAUGGUUUGUCACUGAG